GUUGUUUAAUUAAAUAAACGUGUGAAGUUAACUUCAAGAAUGCCCUGUGUCCCAAGAAGAUGAGAUUGAAGGAGCGCAGUCCCUGUAGGUGGGCAGCGCUCUCAGAAGGGCGGUCCUGUCCCCUCCCAACUCAACCUGGUGGGAGAGGCUGGGGAGCCCCUGUAGGAAGCCACACAUCCUCUGGCAGCCUCUUCAGUGAGGCAGUUAGAGACCAGGGCUGAGCCAGUGGCUGGUGGAUGGCCGACCUCCCACCCAAGAGCCCUGUGUCUGCGUGUACGGAUUAACCCACAGGACUGCCAGGCUCGGCUCGGGCGGCCCCUGUGGCCCCCAGGUCAGGGACCAGGCCAGCGUCCCGAUGAAGGCUCUGCCUCGUCACAAAGCAGUUUGGCAGUGCAAGGCCAGGGCCUCCGCUCUCUUCAGUUGGACAAUUGCUGAGCGGCCCUCCUGAGUUUCGCUCCGAGUUCCUUUCUGCUUCGACCUUGGCCUGCUCUCCUUCUGCCCCAGGGAAUUCUCGCGAUAGAAGAGGAAGGGGCGGGACUUCCGGCACCAGAGACAGGAAGAGAAACUGCAGAGUGGGAUUCGGUGCAGGCUGCGUCCUCCUGGCUGCAGCUGAAGUAGGUACAGUGCUCCCGCAGCCGCGAGAUGAAGGAAAAGCUCAAAAUGGAGGUACUGUGUGGUCGCUGCUGGGGAACUGUCCACAACUGCAGCCCACUGAGCGGCUUCACAAGCCUGCUUAUCUGAGGAGCAGUGUGCAAGGCAGGAGGUAAAUCACAGCAGAGCUAGCGGAGGGGCAGGGCCCGGCGUCCCUCCCCGGAAAUGGAGACUCCUGGGCAGAAGAGCCGUGAGCCAAGCACAGCGCAGAGACGCUGACCAGGCUGUCACCUGCACGGUUUUGUUACUUUCCUUUUCCUCUCCACUCUUUCCUCUCCACUCUGCUUCUCAAGAAGAAGAGGGUCUCGGGUCACACUCACCUAGGGUCCCCAACUUCUGUAGGCACGGGCAAGACGCAGAAUCCAGGAUUAGGCCCAGGCCCGCCUAAUCGGCACCUCGGGUGUUCAGCGUGGGAGUGGGGGUCUCACCCGCCUCCUUGGGUGAGGAGCUCGGAUGUGAACAGAUCUCGCAGCACUCAGGCAAACGUGAUCAUGCCAGCAAAGGGGCCCUGCUGCAGGUGCCAGCCAUUGUGUCCCCAGCACACGCGUGUGAACACAGUGUGCACGGUGAGAAGAGCCAGCAAAGCACCACCCUGGUACCCUCGCAGUCCUGCACCCUCAGGUGAAAGGGGAUCGGGCAACAGGACAGUGGGAGCAAAACUUACCUGAUUUGCAAGGGACACUCAUAUACUGUGGCUUUUUAAAUUAAGAAAUACUAGUUUUCUAAAGCACAUGAUGUUUGGGUUUCAGUUGUCUGGUUUUCUUGGUCUGUAUGGGUGACAAGCUCACCCUAAUGAGAACAUGAAAACAACACUCCCAGACCCGGCUGUGUUCUGGGACACAAAGCAUGCCGCGCCAGGAAGAGAUGGUGCUGUUUUUACAUUUUCAGAUCCGGACUCUGAAAAUCUUAAAUGCUAUGAAUAUCUUGCCAGGAUUUCUGAUAAUGAAAGCUAAACCAAGGACAAUCAGUGCCCAAAGGGCAACACCGAUUUUCCCACUGAAGAGAUGGUUUGAUUUCACUUCCAUACUCUGGUUCUGAUUUCUUUCCUUAGCAGCAGGUGGUCCUGCCGCAGUCACCCCCAGAAGUCUGCACACAAGACUCGGUGAUUGGAAAGAACACUCAGAAGCUGGAUCCCCUAAGAACACACAGAUACCCACAAGCACUGCGGAGUGUGUUAUCAGAACAGUUCGGAGCAGUUGUGUUCUUAUGUUACUUCAAAAUAUUUGGCAAGAUUAAGAUCAUCAUUAUUUCUGCCAUUAGCUUUUUGAUGAUGUGAUAAUCAUUAUUCAUUGAGAGCCCCCAAUCAGGUAGAUACAGAGGAAAAGUGCUUGCUGCUCCUCACACGUUUAGUGGGGACUCCGACAGUGUGACCCCGGGGACGGCACGGGCGCCCACACCAGUCCCUUCUGCUUCCCAGAGUUAACUCGGACCGACCCAGCCCAGCUAAUUCUCCAUAAUGGAGACUUGUUCAGUGACGUC
ensembl:lincRNA